CCGGCUGUCCGGCUAACGAGGCGGCGCCAGGUAAGGAUGGUCGCAUGAAAAGUCCACCUACAAAAAGGGUUGUCGGCUUGGGUUGGUUUGAUCCUUUUUUGCGAUCUUAUUAUUCUAGUCGGCCUCUGCUGGCUUGUUUUUGAGUCUUUAAGUCUUGAUGGCUUCGAAAAAUCUAAGUCCAAUAUUCUCAAAGGCAGAAGCCUCGACCCAGUCACAUACCGGCUCCCGGCUGUCGGGCUGGCGAGGUAGAUGCUAGAGGGAGUAAAUGGGUUGGAGAAAAAG
rnacentral:lncRNA from 1 species